UACGGCGAGUGAACCGGGAAAAGCUCAAAUUUGAAAUCUGGCUGUCUUCGAUAGUCCGAGUUGUAAUCUAUAGAAGCGUUUUCCGUGCUGAACUGUGUCUAAGUCCCUUGGAACAGGGUAUCAAAGAGGGUGAUAAUCCCGUACUUGACACAAUCAUCAGUGCUCUGUGAUACGUUCUCUACGAGUCGAGUUGUUUGGGAAUGCAGCUCAAAAUGGGUGGUAAAUUCCAUCUAAAGCUAAAUAUUGGCGAGAGACCGAUAGCGAACAAGUACCGUGAGGGAAAGAUGAAAAGCACUUUGGAAAGAGAGUUAAACAGUACGUGAAAUUGUUGAAAGGGAAACGAUUGAAGUCAGUCGUGUUCAUUGGAUUCAGCUAGUUCUUCUAGUCUACUUCCUUUGAACGGGUCAACAUCAGUUUUGUCCGGUGGAUAAAGGAUUUAGGAAUGUGACUCCCUCGGGAGUGUUAUAGCCUAGGUUCACAUACACUGGGUGAGACUGAGGACUGCAGCUCGCCUUUUGGCCGGGGUUCGCCCACGUUCGAGCUUAGGAUGUUGACAUAAUGGCUUUAAACGACCCGUCUUGA
rnacentral:rRNA from 1 species